rnacentral:rRNA from 1 species
AGUGAACGCUGGCGGUAGGCCUAACACAUGCAAGUCGAACGGCAGCACAGUAAGAGCUUGCUCUUACGGGUGGCGAGUGGCGGACGGGUGAGGAAUACAUCGGAAUCUACUUUUUCGUGGGGGAUAACGUAGGGAAACUUACGCUAAUACCGCAUACGAACUACGGGUGAAAGCAGGGGAUCUUCGGACCUUGCGCGAUUGAAUGAGCCGAUGUCGGAUUAGCUAGUUGGCGGGGUAAAGGCCCACCAAGGCGACGAUCCGUAGCUGGUCUGAGAGGAUGAUCAGCCACACUGGAACUUAGACACGGUCCAGACUCCUACGGGAGGCAGCAGUGGGGAAUAUUGGACAAUGGGCGCAAGCCUGAUCCAGCCAUACCGCGUGGGUGAAGAAGGCCUUCGGGUUGUAAAGCCCUUUUGUUGGGAAAGAAGAGCAGCAGGUUAAUACCCCGCUGUUCUGACGGUACCCAAAGAAUAAGCACCGGCUAACUUCGUG